rnacentral:rRNA from 1 species
CAGUCGCCGCGGGAAUACGAAGGGGGCUAGCGUUACUCGGAAUUACUGGGCGCAAAGGGCGCGUAGGCGGCACGAUUAGUCAGGCGUGAAAUUCCUGGGCUCAACCUGGGGACUGCGCUUGAUACGGUCGAGCUAGAGGAUGGAAGAGGGUUGUGGAAUUCCCGGUGUAGCGGUGAAAUGCGUAGAGAUCGGGAGGAACAUCAGUGGCGAAGGCGGCCAUCUGGGACAACACUGACGCUGAGGCACGAAAGCGUGGGGAGCAAACAGGAUUAGAUACCCGCGUAGUCCCUGUCUCUUAUAC